AGCGAACGCUGGCGGCAGGCCUAACACAUGCAAGUCGAACGAAGUCUUCGGACUUAGUGGCGGACGGGUGAGUAACACGUGGGAACGUACCUUUUGGUUCGGAACAACUCAGGGAAACUUGAGCUAAUACCGGAUGAGCCCUUAGGGGGAAAGAUUUAUCGCCGAAAGAGCGGCCCGCGUUAGAUUAGCUAGUUGGUGAGGUAAAGGCUCACCAAGGCUACGAUCUAUAGCUGGUCUGAGAGGAUGAUCAGCCACACUGGGACUGAGACACGGCCCAGACUCCGACGGGAGGCAGCAGUGGGGAAUUUUGCGCAAUGGGCGAAAGCCUGACGCAGCAAUGCCGCGUGAAUGAUGAAGGUCUUAGGAUUGUAAAAUUCUUUUACCAGGGACGAUAAUGACGGUACCUGGAGAAAAAGCCCCGGCUAACUUCGUGCCAGCAGCCGCCGUAACAC
rnacentral:rRNA from 1 species